rnacentral:tRNA from 1 species
GCCAGCGGGGCGCGAGUGGCAGCGCACCGCACCCGUAAUGCGGACCGUGUGAGUUCAAGUCUCACCGCUGGCU